GAGUUUGAUCGUGGCUCAGGAUGAACGCUGGCGGCGUGCCUAAUACAUGCAAGUCGAACGAAACUUCUUUAUCACCGAGUGCUUGCACUCACCGAUAAAGAGUUGAGUGGCGAACGGGUGAGUAACACGUGGGCAACCUGCCCAAAAGAGGGGGAUAACACUUGGAAACAGGUGCUAAUACCGCAUAACCAUAGUUACCGCAUGGUAACUAUGUAAAAGGUGGCUAUGCUACCGCUUUUGGAUGGGCCCGCGGCGCAUUAGCUAGUUGGUGGGGUAAAGGCUUACCAAGCCGACGAUCAGUAGCCGACCUGAGAGGGUGACCGGCCACAUUGGGACUGAGACACGGCCCAAACUCCUACGGGAGGCAGCAGUGGGGAAUAUUGCACAAUGGGGGAAACCCUGAUGCAGCGACGCCGCGUGAGUGAAGAAGUAUUUCGGUAUGUAAAGCUCUAUCAGCAGGGAAGAAGAAGGACGGUACCUGAGUAAGAAGCCCCGGCUAACUA
rnacentral:rRNA from 1 species